ACGGGUGAGUAACACGUGGAUAAUCUUCCUCAAGGUGGGGAAUAACCGGUCGAAAGACCGGCUAAUACCGCAUAAGACCACACGGGCUUCGGCUCGAGAGGUUAAAGGAGCAAUUCGCCUUGAGAUGAGUUUGCGUCUGAUUAGCUAGUUGGUGAGGUAAUGGCUCACCAAGGCGACGAUCAGUAGCUGGUCUGAGAGGACGGCCAGCCACACUGGGACUGAGACACGGCCCAGACUCCUACGGGAGGCAGCAGUAGGGAAUAUUGCACAAUGGAGGAAACUCUGAUGCAGCGACGCCGCGUGAGUGACGAAGGCCUUCGGGUUGUAAAGCUCUGUUCUCAGGGAAAAAGAAAGUGAUUGUACCUGAGAAGAAAGGACCGGCUAACUUCGUGCCAGCAGCCGCGGUAAGACGAGGGGUCCAAGCGUUGUUCGGAAUUAUUGGGCGUAAAGCGGGUGUAGGUGGCUCUCUAAGUCAGAAGUGAAAGCCCCAGGCUUAACCUGGGAAGUGCUUUUGAUACUGGAGAGCUUGAAUGUGGGAGAGGAUCGUGGAAUUCCAGGUGUAGUGGUGAAAUACGUAGA
rnacentral:rRNA from 1 species